AUACCUUUCUCGGCCUUUUGGCUAAGAUCAAGUGUAGUAUCUGUUCUUAUCAGUUUAAUAUCUGAUAUGUGGGCCAUGUGCCCACUUCGAUGUUAAAUUUAUUUGUUGUGGGGGAGGGCCCACCACAGUGGCUAGCCACUGGGGCCCUCGCGCGUUGCACUGCUGCCCGGGCCUGGCGCACCCCAA
rnacentral:snRNA from 1 species